rnacentral:rRNA from 1 species
GAUGAACGCUGGCGGCGUGCCUAAUACAUGCAAGUCGAGCGAACAGAUAAGGAGCUUGCUCCUUUGACGUUAGCGGCGGACGGGUGAGUAACACGUGGGUAACCUAUCUAUAAGACUGGAAUAACUCCGGGAAACCGGGGCUAAUGCCGGAUAACAUGUUGAACCGCAUGGUUCUACAGUGAAAGGCGGCUUUGCUGUCACUUAUAGAUGGACCCGCGCCGUAUUAGCUAGUUGGUGAGGUAACGGCUCACCAAGGCAACGAUACGUAGCCGACCUGAGAGGGUGAUCGGCCCCACUGGAACUGAGACACGGUCCAGACUCCUACGGGAGGAAGCAGUAGGGAAUCUUCCGCAAUGGGCGAAAGCCUGCCGGAGCAACGCCGCGUGAGUGAUGAAGGUCUUCGGAUCGUAAACCUCUGUUAUUAGGGAAGAACAAAUGCGUAAGUAACUGUGCGCGUCUUGACGGUACCUAAUCAGAAAGCCACGGCUAACUACGUG